CUCAUCAAUGUAAGGCUUCACAGGGAAGAUGCGCCCAAACAAAAGAUUCCAAUUGUGAAAUAAGUUUUGGUUCAGGAUGGACAGAAAAGGGCAGCUGUUGUCGGGGGAGACCGUGUUGCGUGUUUCAGUGUGAAGAUAUUCCAACCGACAGUCUAAAAAAUGGUUCAGUCAUUGUAACGAAAAGAAAUACUGGCUCCACGGCAAAUUUUUCCUGUGACGCAGGACUUUCACUGCUUGGAAGACAAUCUAUUAUAUGCACAGCUUCAGGUUGGAAUGGGAAUAUUCCACAAUGUAUAAAAAUAGUAUGUCCUGAGACGGUAGCCUUCUUUCGUGGUUCAAAGUACAUAUUCAAAUGUCCAGGAGCAUCUUGGUCUAAUUCUGAG